GACGAACGCUGGCGGCGUGCUUAACACAUGCAAGUCGAACGGAAAGGCCCUGCUUUUGUGGGGUGCUCGAGUGGCGAACGGGUGAGUAACACGUGAGUAACCUGCCCUUGACUUUGGGAUAACUUCAGGAAACUGGGGCUAAUACCGGAUAGGAGCUCCUGCUGCAUGGUGGGGGUUGGAAAGUUUCGGCGGUUGGGGAUGGACUCGCGGCUUAUCAGCUUGUUGGUGGGGUAGUGGCUUACCAAGGCUUUGACGGGUAGCCGGCCUGAGAGGGUGACCGGCCACAUUGGGACUGAGAUACGGCCCAGACUCCUACGGGAGGCAGCAGUGGGGAAUAUUGCACAAUGGGCGGAAGCCUGAUGCAGCAACGCCGCGUGCGGGAUGACGGCCUUCGGGUUGUAAACCGCUUUCGCCUGUGACGAAGCGUGAGUGACGGUAAUGGGUAAAGAAGCACCGGCUAACUACGUGCCAGCAGCCGCGGUGAUACGUAGGGUGCGAGCGUUGUCCGGAUUUAUUGGGCGUAAAGGGCUCGUAGGUGGUUGAUCGCGUCGGAAGUGUAAUCUUGGGGCUUAACCCUGAGCGUGCUUUCGAUACGGGUUGACUUGAGGAAGGUAGGGGAGAAUGGAAUUCCUGGUGGAGCGGUGGAAUGCGCAGAUAUCAGGAGGAACACCAGUGGCGAAGGCGGUUCUCUGGGCCUUUCCUGACGCUGAGGAGCGAAAGCGUGGGGAGCGAACAGGCUUAGAUACCCUGGUAGUCCACGCUGUAAACGGUGGGUACUAGGUGUGGGGUCCAUUCCACGGGUUCCGUGCCGUAGCUAACGCUUUAAGUACCCCGCCUGGGGAGUACGGCCGCAAGGCUAAAACCCAAAGGAAUUGACGGGGCCCCGCACAAGCGGCGGAGCAUGCGGAUUAAUUCGAUGCAACGCGUAGAACCUUACCUGGGUUUGACAUGGAUCGGGAGCGCUCAGAGAUGGGUGUGCCUCUUUUGGGGUCGGUUCACAGGUGGUGCAUGGCUGUCGUCAGCUCGUGUCGUGAGAUGUUGGGUUAAGUCCCGCAACGAGCGCAACCCUUGUUCACUGUUGCCAGCACGUUAUGGUGGGGACUCAGUGGAGACCGCCGGGGUCAACUCGGAGGAAGGUGGGGAUGACGUCAAGUCAUCAUGCCCCUUAUGUCCAGGGCUUCACGCAUGCUACAAUGGCUGGUACAGAGAGUGGCGAGCCUGUGAGGGUGAGCGAAUCUCGGAAAGCCGGUCUCAGUUCGGAUUGGGGUCUGCAACUCGACCUCAUGAAGUCGGAGUCGCUAGUAAUCGCAGAUCAGCAACGCUGCGGUGAAUAAGUUCCCGGGGCU
rnacentral:rRNA from 1 species